rnacentral:rRNA from 1 species
GUCGAACGAGAGAGAGGGAGCUUGCUUCCUCAAUCGAGUGGCGAACCGGUGAGUAACGCGUGAGGAACCUGCCUCAAAGAGGGGGACAACAGUUGGAAACGACUGCUAAUACCGCAUAAGCCCACAGGUCGGCAUCGACCAGAGGGAAAAGGAGCAAUCCGCUUUGAGAUGGCCUCGCGUCCGAUUAGCUAGUUGGUGAGGUAAUGGCCCACCAAGGCGACGAUCGGUAGCCGGACUGAGAGGUUGAACGGCCACAUUGGGACUGAGACACGGCCCAGACUCCUACGGGAGGCAGCAGUGGGGAAUAUUGCACAAUGGGGGAAACCCUGAUGCAGCGACGCCGCGUGGAGGAAGAAGGUCUUCGGAUUGUAAACUCCUGUUGUUGAGGAAGAUAAUGACGGUACUCAACAAGGAAGUGACGGCUAACUACGUGCCAGCAGCCGCGGUAAAACGUAGGUCACAAGCGUUGUCCGGAAUUACUGGGUGUAAGGGAGCGCAGGCGGGAAGACAAGUUGGAAGUGAAAUCUAUGGGCUCAACCCAUAAACUGCUUUCAAAACUGUUUUUCUUGAGUAGUGCAGAGGUAGGCGGAAUUCCCGGUGUAGCGGUGGAAUGCGUAGAUAUCGGGAGGAACACCAGUGGCGAAGGCGGCCUACUGGGCACCAACUGACGCUGAGGCUCGAAAGUGUGGGUAGCAAACAGGAUUAGAUACCCUGGUAGUCCACACCGUAAACGAUGAUUACUAGGUGUUGGAGGAUUGACCCCUUCAGUGCCGCAGUUAACACAAUAAGUAAUCCACCUGGGGAGUACGACCGCAAGGUUGAAACUCAAAGGAAUUGACGGGGGCCCGCACAAGCAGU